AUAGGGUUGGGAGAGAUGGAAUUGAGGCAGGAACCAAUCUUGUGCCGGAUUCUGUGCCAAGAUCAAUAGCAAGGGUUUCUGUGACGGUAGUUGCAUUUUCUCCUUCACUCUUUGUACUCAAGUUUUCUUUGUGCUGGCUACGAUGGGACUCGUAUACUUUACAUUUAUAGCUUUGAAUAAGGAUGAAGGACCAAAGGGGGGUGGAGGCACCACCUCUACACCAAAGGAGGAGGGGAUGGAGGACAGUCUAGAAGAAGCCAGAAGAAUCAUGGAGAAGUAUAAGUAACAUCCUCACUGGUAGGGCUCAUUCACUCAUUUUCAUAGCUAACCUGACCGUGUGUGAGGCAUCCAUUUCAGAAAGUGGAUCUUAAGCUACUUGUAAUCUUGUAGUGUGCAUGGAGAAUUUACCCAUUGCCUCAUUUGUGGAAGAAUAUGAUCUGCUUGCU